rnacentral:lncRNA from 1 species
GUCUUCUAGAAUAAGUGGAAAGCAAACAACUUUUAGAGUAUUUAGCAUAACAAGAUUACAAGGUGGACAUUUUCUGGCAUUAUGUAGGCCUGAGCAGAAAGACAUGUACUUCCCAGUCCACUAAAUCAGGAAAUUUGGUAUUUUAAUGCACGUACUAACUGGUGAAGUCAGGCAAUUGAAAAGUGCUGAAAAAGAUGAAUGUGAAAAACUCUUUGGGGGAGUUCAUCAAAACCUUCCAUCACUCAAAAAUGGGAUUAAAUUGGUGUUACAUAAAAAAGUUUAAUUUUGUUACAUAACAACAACAGCCAAACCCUCAGAUGAGGGGAGGAAAGACAGCAAAAGGAAGAACAUGAAGUUUGAAUUUAGGUCUUAAUGUUCUCACUCCUGCCUUGUGCAUUUGCAUGUAACCACAAUGGUCACCCAAGCCAUGAUCUUUCAUCUGACACUAAUUUUUUAGUUUUCAGACAUCACCUGUGCCUCCAAGGACUGAGAUGGGACAGAAGGAUGUUGUGGACUCCACUUCUGCAAAGCUCAAGAAAGAACUGGAGUGGCAGGUGGAGGAGAUUUCUGAAUUCCAUGAAUAUAAACUUCAUAGGCAUCAGCAGGUUCCUUGUUUGGAGGACAUAAGACAUUUGAAGGAUGCACAGAAAUGUUCAAACCAAGACAUCCUUAUUUCCCAAGAGCUAGUUAACUUACAUUAGAGCAUCUUUUCUGAGGAAGAAAGCAAGUGAAAGAUACCCUGGUUAGUGGUUAAUACUGAAGUAACCUGUGGUAUGCAGGGCUCUUAACCAGGGAUGGUGUUUGGUACAUAAGAUAUUUUACCCAUGGAAGGAAAAAUCCAGUUCCUCUUCUAAAGCCUCUGCAAUUUAGACAGAUGCAGAAGAAUACUUGAGACCAGAGUUGCUGAUAUUGGUAAAAAA